AAGUGUUACAGCUCUUUUAGAAUUUGUCCAGCAGGUUUUCCAGUUUUAACCCCA
ensembl:snRNA U7 U7 small nuclear RNA